rnacentral:piRNA from 1 species
UAAACAGGGAUGAAUGACAUGGAGCCUGUU